CCUACGGGAGGCAGCAGUGAGGAAUAUUGGUCAAUGGGCGCGAGCCUGAACCAGCCAAGUAGCGUGAAGGAUGACUGCCCUACGGGUUGUAAACUUCUUUUGUAAAGGAGUAAAGUGAGGCACGUGUGCCUUUUUGUAUGUACUUUAUGAAUAAGGAUCGGCUAACUCCGUUCCAGCAGCCGCGGUAAUACGGAGGAUCCGAGCGUUAUCCGGAUUUAUUGGGGUUAAAGGGAGCGUAGAUGGGUUGUUAAGGCCGUUGUGAAAGUUUGCGGCUCAACCGUAAAAUUGCAAUUGAUACUGGCAGUCUUGAGUACAGUUGAGGUAGGCGGAAUGCGUGGUGUAGCGGUGAAAUGCUUAGAUAUCACGAAGAACUCCGAUUGCGAAGGCAGCUUACCAAACUGCAACUGACAUUGAUGCUCGAAAGUGUGGGUAUCAAACAGGAUUAGAUACCCCUGUAGUC
rnacentral:rRNA from 1 species